ensembl:lncRNA
UGGCCUGAGGGUGAUCCUCCUCCCGCUCCAUCCUCCACCGUGUGCAGAUACAUUAUACUCUGCACCAUCUUGGCGUUUCUCAUCAUCUGUACGUUUGUGGGGGUUGUGAUGGAUGCAGAAUAUUUUCCUUGCAUCGUCGAUUGUACCCCAUUUUGUCUCCUGCCGUAUCGUUGCGUACGGGUAGGCAUGAUACACAAAGUCUAUUUCCAGAACUUUCUAUAACUGACAUUUGAGAAUCGUCCUUUAUUUUAUCCUGCAUGCUACUGUGUGUUUCAGGAACAUCAGUAAUAACGUGAUGGCGACACUUUAUCUGGUGUUCAGAGUGGCCAAAUUUCAAGAACAAUUUACAGAGUACACAGACCGUUUCCUCCAGGAGCAGAUUCAGUACGGCUUUCAGGCUUUAGUCAGUCCGAACCCGCUGACCGUUCCUGAGUUUGGAGAAAUUCAGAGCAUUGUCCUUCUUGGUAAAGGCAACUCAGCGACAAUUAACCUUUAUACAUCUGUGUUUAGUUUCUCUUAAACUACAGCGAUUUGCAAAU